UCAGCUUUCUUUAUAUUUCAACUCUCACAUCCAUACAUGACUACUGGAAAAACCAUAGCCUUGACUAGACAGACGUUUGCCAGCAAAGUGAUGUCUCUGCUUUUUAAUAUGCUGUCUAGGUUGGUCAUAGUUUCCCUUCCAAG